UAUGCCUCAUGCUUCCUCUUCGUCCUCCCAUGGCCUUUCGCUUGAAGCUCUGUGGCUGCCGCUGGCCGGCUCGCCGGUCGCUCACAGGCUCGCGUUGCUACUCGCCGGGCCCGCUCGCUGAUUGGAUUGUUGCAAUAAAAUCAAUUGCUAAAAAAAUCUGGUCUCAGUUCCGCUUCAGGCGGUUCCAACAAAAUCAAAAGCUCAUUGUAGCAAAAUUAGUUAAAGGUUUCAGCAAAAGAGACAAAUGCAGCAAAAAUUCAAAGAAAUGCCUCGCCGCCGCACCUCAUGAAGAAAUUUGGUUCCAACAAAAAAACACUAGGUUCCAGCAAAUUAAAUCAGCGUUAUUGCUCGCCGAGCCCCCGUUGCAACUGAGGGAGAAAAGCCGGUUCCACAGCCAUUGAAGCUUUUUCCAUCAUUGAAGCUUUUUUCUUAUGGUGGAAGCUUUUUCCUCAUGCCACUUGAAGCUUUUCCUCCCGCCGGAUGAAGCUUUUUCACAGCCGUAGCUUUUCUCUCGUCUCCGUCACAAAUAUGAAGCUUCGUCGCACGUCGAGCUGCAUCGGCAGUAGCAAUCCAGACUGCCGCUUCCAGCAAAAAGAAACACUGCUUCCAACAAAACAAAGUCUGUUGGUCGAUCCUCGCAGCUCUGAGGAAGCUGGUUCUAGCAAAACAAAUUGAUGCUUCCAACACAAAAAAAACACUACAUCCAGCAAAAAAGGACAUCUAAGAUCGAUAGCACGCCAUACCUUCCAGCAAAAAAAGCAUUAUUUCCAGCUGCGCCAUUUGCAGGUUGCAACUUUUGCCUUGCCGAUUGCAACUUCCUCCCCGGCCAGUUCCAGCUCCGCCAUUUGCUGGUUCCAGCCCCGCCGCUUGUCGGUUCCAGCUCCCCCGCUUGCCGGUUGUUGCUUUGCCCCAGCUGCUUGCAACUCCAUCGUAGCUGGGUCCAGCUCCACCGCUCGCCGGUUGCGCACGGGAGGUACGCCAUCACCGGCGUGGGUACCCUUCCCCCGUCGCAGCACCGUCGGCGCACAGCAGCGCCUGUAACUCCCCUCCUGCAUCGUCUCCUCCUUCCUCAGGCGAUCUGUGCGAGCGCGAAGCAUCCCGCCGCGGUCGCCUCACACGUGGGUGAAACGACAUGGCGCGUGGUG
rnacentral:lncRNA from 1 species